UCUUGUUCAUGAGCAAAGAAAGUGAUUUCUUCAGAUAGAAUCUACUCUUGGUGAAGAUGAUGCGAA
rnacentral:pre_miRNA from 1 species